rnacentral:rRNA from 1 species
GGGCUCGACCUCCACCCUUUGUCUACCUUACCUUACGUUGCUUCGGCGGGUCCUGUCCUGAAAAGGACCGCCGGAGGGUGGUUUCACCCUCUGGCCCGUACCCGCCGGUGGCCUCCAACCAAACUCUUGUCAAAAACGUGUCGUCUGAAGUACAAAACAAAUAAGCAAAAACUUUCAACAACGGAUCUCUUGGUUCUGGCAUCGAUGAAGAACGCAGCGAAAUGCGAUAAGUAAUGCGAAUUGCAGAAUCCGUGAGUCAUCGAAUCUUUGAACGCACAUUGCGCCCUUUGGUAUUCCGAAGGGCAUGCCUGUUCGAGCGUCAUUAUCACCCCUCAAGCCCCCGGCUUGGUGUAGGGCUUUCGGUGGUCGUCUCCGACCAUCGGCCUCAAAGAUAGUGAUGGCGUCCCAGAGGGAACCGGUACGAGGAGCUUUUACGAGCAUGUACACGGGACGACUCUGCGGGCGACGGUCUUUCUUAACUUUUAUAUAAGUGUUGACCUCGGAUCAGGUAGGAAUACCCGCUGAACUUAAGCAUAUCAAUAAGCGGAGGAAAAGAAACCAACAGGGAUUGCCUUAGUAACGGCGAGUGAAGCGGCAACAGCUCAAAUUUGAAAUCUGGCUUCUCGGAGCCCGAGUUGUAAUUUGUAGAGGAUGUUUCGGGUACCGCAACGACUUAAAUUUCUUGGAACAGAAUGUCAGAGAGGGUGAGAGUCCCGUCUGGAGUCGCGGUAGGGCCUAUGUGAAACUCCCUCGACGAGUCGAGUUGUUUGGGAAUGCAGCUCAAAAUGGGUGGU